rnacentral:rRNA from 1 species
GAUGAACGCUGGCGGCGUGCCUAAUACAUGCAAGUCGAGCGAACAGACGAGGAGCUUGCUCCUCUGACGUUAGCGGCGGACGGGUGAGUAACACGUGGAUAACCUACCUAUAAGACUGGGAUAACUUCGGGAAACCGGAGCUAAUACCGGAUAAUAUAUUGAGCCGCAUGGUUCAAUAGUGAAAGACGGUUUUGCUGUCACUUAUAGAUGGAUCCGCGCCGCAUUAGCUAGUUGGUAAGGUAACGGCUUACCAAGGCAACGAUGCGUAGCCGACCUGAGAGGGUGAUCGGCCACACUGGAACUGAGACACGGUCCAGACUCCUACGGGAGGCAGCAGUAGGGAAUCUUCCGCAAUGGGCGAAAGCCUGACGGAGCAACGCCGCGGGAGUGAUGAAGGUCUUCGGAUCGUAAAACUCUGUUAUUAGGGAAGAACAAAUGUGUAAGUAACUAUGCACGUCUUGACGGUACCUAAUCAGAAAACCACGGCUAACUACGU